rnacentral:rRNA from 1 species
UGAUAAGAAACACUUUGUAGCGCCAUUUCUAAACUCGGAGGGCUGACUGCUCCCAAUGUCAUGUCAUUUGACCUCAAAUCAGGUAGGACUACCCGCUGAACUUAAGCAUAUCAAUAAGCGGAGGAAAAGAAACUAACAAGGAUUCCCCUAGUAACGGCGAGUGAAGCGGGAAGAGCUCAAAUUUGUAAUCUGGCAGUCCUUUGGCUGUCCGAGUUGUAAUCUGGAGAAGUGUUUUCUGUGCCGGACCGUGUACAAGUCCCUUGGAACAGGGCGUCAUAGAGGGUGAGAAUCCCGUCUUUGACACGGACUCCCGGUGCUUUGUGAUGCGCUCUCGAAGAGUCGAGUUGUUUGGGAAUGCAGCUCAAAAUGGGUGGUAAAUUCCAUCUAAAGCUAAAUAUGGGCGAAAGACCGAUAGCGAACAAGUACCGUGAGGGAAAGAUGAAAAGCACUUUGGAAAGAGAGUUAAACAGUACGUGAAAUUGUUGAAAGGGAAACGCUUGAAGUCAGUCGCGUCUCCUGGGACUCAGCCCCGCUUUCCUUGCGGGGUGCAUUUCCUGGGACGACGGGCCAGCAUCGAUUUCAGUCGCUGGAGAAAGGCAAGGGGGAAUGUGGCACCAUUCUUGGUGUGUUAUAGCCCCCAGUCGUAUACAGCGACAGGGAUCGAGGAUCGCAGCACGCCUCUAAUGGCCGGGGUUCGCCCACGUCAACGUGCUUAGGAUGCUGGCGUAAUGGCUUUAAGCGACCCGUCUUGAAACACGGACCAAGGAGUCUAACAUGCCUGCGAGUGUUUGGGUGUCAAACCCGGACGCGUAAUGAAAGUGAAAGGUUGGGACCUCUGUCGUGGAGGGCACCGACGCCCGGACCAGACCUUUUGUGACGGUUCCGAGGUAGAGCAUGUAUGUUGGGACCCGAAAGAUGGUGAACUAUGCCUGAGUAGGGUGAAGCCAGAGGAAACUCUGGUGGAGGCUCGUAGCGAUUCUGACGUGCAAAUCGAUCGUCGAACUUGGGUAUAGGGGCGAAAGACUAAUCGAACCAUCUAGUAGCUGGUUCCUGCC